AUCACCUCUUGGGAAGAAUUUUGUUUUUGAAACAUCCUGUUUUUUCAUAUGGUAUAUAUUAUAGAACUUGAAAGCUGUAUUAUAAUGACUAUUGCCUCUUGCAACUAAGGAGAGUGUUUAUACAAUAGGAAUGGCAGGUUUUAAAGAAAAACGUCCCGAAGCACUUAAAUAAAGCAAAUUUUCAAUAAUCUUUGCAACUUUACCUUACCCAGAAUUAUUUUACAGGAUGACUGAAAUAAAGUCAAAGCAAACAUUUCUGUAAUCAUAUGCAUAAUGAUGUUGAGCACCUUCACACAUCCUUAUUUGCCACUGUAUCAUCAGAAAUGCAUACAUGUGUGCACCAAAAGAUGCCCAGUGUGAUUCCACUAUCCAGCCAGUUGUGGUCACAUGACUGAGCUCAUCUAAUAGAAUGUGGACCUACAUCCUUGGUUCACAAGAAGCUACUUCCCACCACCAAUUCUCUCUCUUUACCCCAGCCUGCUAAUCAUAUGUCAAUAUUCAGCGUGUUCUCAGGAUUUGCAAACUGUGUGUUGAAGAUAGAAUUUCCUUCAACCUAGAUCCCCGAAUGAUUUUUUGGCACACCCCAUCCCCCCACCAACUGCUGAUAAAAACUUACACUAGCGAAACUUAAACCGAUGUCCAGAUAAAAACUCUGCAAUUUUGGGUUUAUCUGUACGGCAGCUGAAUACACCCAUUCUAACUUCAGAGGUAGAGGCCCAGAAAAGAUAUAUAGUCUGUAGACCAUACUUCAACAAAACAUUAAAAAUUAAAAUAUUUAAAAAUUAUGUAUUUAGGGGGACAACUUUCUGGUAGUGAACUGAUCAUUAAAUUUAAAACCAUAAGGGUAUUAUUCUAUGCUUUUUUAUGCCUUAGGAACUAGGAGUGGUUUUAACAUUUUGAAGAGUUGUUUUAAAAACUAAAGAAAAAAAUCAAAGGAGAAUAUGUGACAGAGACUAUUAUGUGCCUCAGAAAAUUUAUCUGGUCCUUUGCACAAAAAGUUUGCUGACCCUUAUAUUAAAGUGUAACAGGGCGAGGAUGGGGGUGGGCGCCUGGGUGGCUCAGUUGGUUCAGCAUCUGACUCUUGAUUUUGGCA